rnacentral:miRNA from 1 species
AGCUCCAUUGCCCGCUC